rnacentral:rRNA from 1 species
UGGGGAAUUUUGGACAAUGGGCGCAAGCCUGAUCCAGCCAUGCCGCGUGCGGGAAGAAGGCCUUCGGGUUGUAAACCGCUUUUGUCAGGGAAGAAAUCUUCUGAGUUAAUACCUCGGGAGGAUGACGGUACCUGAAGAAUAAGCACCGGCUAACUACGUGCCAGCAGCCGCGGUAAUACGUAGGGUGCAAGCGUUAAUCGGAAUUACUGGGCGUAAAGCGUGCGCAGGCGGUUUUGUAAGACAGAGGUGAAAUCCCCGGGCUCAACCUGGGAACUGCCUUUGUGACUGCAAGGCUUGAGUGCGGCAGAGGGGGGAUGGAAUUCCGCGUGUAGCAGUGAAAUGCGUAGAUAUGCGGAGGAACACCGAUGGCGAAGGCAAUCCCCUGGGCCUGCACUGACGCUCAUGCACGAAAGCGUGGGGAGCAAACAGGAUUAGAUACCCUGGUAGUCCACGCCCUAAACGAUGUCAACUGGUUGUUGGGAAGGUUCCUUCUCAGUAACGUAGCUAACGCGUGAAGUUGACCGCCUGGGGAGUACGGCCGCAAGGUUGAAACUCAAAUGAAUUGACGGGGUCAUAGCUGUUU